rnacentral:lncRNA from 1 species
GUAGGAUCUAACAAGUAAAAAAAUAAACUUUGUCUUUGUACAUGUCCUCAUAUGGGGACAGAACAUUUAAAAAUGAUCCUUGUUGUUUGGGAUCAGAAGUUCCAAUUUAGUUCAAAAACAAAAUAUUAGCUUUCUAUAAAAAGUAAAUAAACUUGUUUCAAACUAAAAUUUAAGGAGAAUUUUUACCUUUUUACCCAUGUUUUGUCUGGAUUGGAUGUAGAAACUUUUCACUUGUAUUCUCGCAACUUGUUUUCAAUCAAUUAAGUGAAAUGUUGUCAUGUGAUCACUAGAUGGUAAGGGCAAUGUCUCCAUAUGACGUAGGGUUUUUCAAUGUCUCACUUUUAUGUGGUCUCUUUAAUGUCUUACUUUCGAUAUUUGAUUUGAACUAGAUGUUCUAUUGUGAAUAAAACGUGGUGUCCUACUUUUUUUUUUUAAUGGAGGUUGCACUUACUGACAGCUGUUUUUUUAAUCAAGAGCAUGUAUUUCUCGAAGUUACAUAAUCUUAACUAAAAAAUAGCACCAGUUUCAGCUCUUACUUUUACAGUAAAUCAAGAAACCAAAUAAUAAAUAUGCUUAAUUUCUUGAUUUUUUUGUUUUACCUUGAACGCAAACAGCAGUGAGGAGUAAUGAGAUGAGCAUGUAAACAGCGCAGCCUCCAGAGCAAAGAGGAGAAUAAAAGAGGGUGAAAACAGGAAGUAAAGAACGUGCCGCUGGACACAAAGCUACACUCCACAAAGCUUCUGACAGACAACUGUAAUGCAUGUGCUCGUCCUGCAAGGUCAGAUCAAGAUGUCCAGGAGGCCAAGACAGCAGUGUGCCCUUCAUCUAUUCACUGUGGUGCUUGAGAAGGAGAGAAUGGCACUCUGGGAGAGCAAGGAGUCUCAGCUUGUGGGAGAAGAAGGAGAAUGGACAGAAGAUGAAUGAGCCUUCUGAGUCAAGACACCCAGAGAGUCACAAGGAAGCUCCAAGAGCUCAAUACAGAGACCAAUUAAACAAUAACUGCAAGUUAAUGACCAACAGAAGGUGGGAUGCUGGGGGAGUAAGGGAUGAGGAAGAUGAGUCAGUGAGUGGAUCUGAGAGUCUGACAGAAGAGCACAUUGCCAUUGCAAGAGUCCUUUGUCAUUCAGGAAUAAAGGAUUAGCAGAUGAGUGCUGACAACUGCCUGGAUCUGCCCUCUGCCCAAAAUCCCACCUUCAGAUCAGUGCAAUCCUUCCCCGUAGCACUCAAACAGAAGGCUUCACACCUUGACUCCUGAGGAGACCUGAAAGAGGUGCUGACAGCAGUGCAGGGUGAUUAAGGUAACUAAUGACCUGUUGGGGAAAUAGAGGCUUAUUCCCAAUGCAUUUGGGGAUAGAGGUAACACACACUAAUCAGCACAGCCCCAGCAAUUAAGCACUCUGAGCUUAAAAUGACUUGUUUUCCACAAUUAUUGCACAAAUUAAACUAAAAGUUUGCCAAUGACUAUAAUUUCUAUUGCUAUAUAUUAUUGACAGAUUGAAUGCGACAACAAGACAAUGCUAUGUCUCUUGUCAAGUGAAUGACUAGAUAGAUAGAUAGAUAGAUAGAUAGAUAGAUAGAUAGAUAGAUAGAUAGAUAGAUAGAUAGAUAGAUAGAUAGAUAGAAUUUAUUCAUAACAAUAAAAGGUCCACCUUAAAUAAAC